GGGUAGAAGAGAUAAUCCAGCCUGCCAAGUGCUAUGCACUCAUUCCAGUGCCAAAAUACAAAGCACGCACCAACAGCUUUAAUAAGUUUUGUAUUGGAACUCAAGCACCGCUCUGGGGUUUCCUGUCCUACAUCCCUUACACCUCUCUAACCCUGCAUUCUGGUACCUCGAUUGCAAAAUGCAGACAUUGAGAGUAUUAAAUAAAACCUGUACUUUCUUUUG